rnacentral:rRNA from 1 species
GACGAACGCUGGCGGCGUGCUUAACACAUGCAAGUCGAACGGAAAGGCCUUGCUUUUGUGGGGUGCUCGAGUGGCGAACGGGUGAGUAACACGUGAGUAACCUGCCCUUGACUUUGGGAUAACUUCAGGAAACUGGGGCUAAUACCGGAUAGGAGCUCCUGCUGCAUGGUGGGGGUUGGAACGUUUCGGCGGUUGGGGAUGGACUCGCGGCUUAUCAGCUUGUUGGUGGGGUAGUGGCUUACCAAGGCUUUGACGGGUAGCCGGCCUGAGAGGGUGACCGGCAACAUUGGGACUGAGAUACGGCCCAGACUCCUACGGGAGGAAGAAGUGGGGAAUAUGGCAAAAUGGGCGGAAGCCUGAUGCAGCAACGCCGCGUGCGGGAUGACGGCCUUCGGGUGGUAAACCGCUUUCGCAGGUGACGAAGCGUGAGUGACGGUAAUGGGUAAAGAAGCACCGGCUAACUACGUG